GAUGAACGCUGGCGGCGUGCUUAACACAUGCAAGUCGAACGGUGAAGCCCAGCUUGCUGGGUGGAUCAGUGGCGAACGGGUGAGUAACACGUGAGCAACCUGCCCCUGACUCUGGGAUAAGCGCUGGAAACGGCGUCUAAGUACUGGAUACGAGACGUGAUCGCAUGGUCGACGUCUGGAAAAGAUUUUUUUGGGUUGGG
rnacentral:rRNA from 1 species